CCUGAAAUCAACGUGGCUCUGGUUCCGUGACGGGAA
rnacentral:sRNA from 1 species